UUGCUUUAGCAGCAAACACACUAACAGGAACAACACUGAGAAGAUUAGCAUGGCUCCUGCACUGGGAUAUUCAAAUCUAUGAAGCAUCCACAUUAUUC
rnacentral:snRNA from 1 species